CCUACGGGAGGCAGCAGUGGGGAAUAUUGCACAAUGGGGGAAACCCUGAUGCAGCGACGCCGCGUGAGUGAAGAAGUAAUUCGUUAUGUAAAGCUCUAUCAGCAGGGAAGAAAAUGACGGUACCUGAGUAAGAAGCCCCGGCUAACUACGUGCCAGCAGCCGCGGUAAUACGUAGGGGGCAAGCGUGAUCCGGAUUUACUGGGUGGAAAGGGAGCGUAGACGGCAGUGCAAGUCUGGAGUGAAAGGCGGGGGCUCAACCCCCGGACUGCUCUGGAAACUGUACGGCUGGAGUGCAGGAGAGGUAAGUGGAAUUCCUAGUGUAGCGGUGAAAUGCGUAGAUAUUAGGAGGAACACCAGUGGCGAAGGCGGCUUACUGGACUGUAACUGACGUUGAGGCUCGAAAGCGUGGGGAGCAAACAGGAUUAGAUACCCUAGUAGUC
rnacentral:rRNA from 1 species